rnacentral:tRNA from 1 species
ACCCGGCUGGCUCAGUCAGCAGAGCACGUGACUCUUGAUCCUGGGGUCGUGAGUUUGAGCCCCACGUUGGGCG